UUUGCGAAAUACGCGACUUCUCGUUAUUUUGUAUCAUGUGAAUGAAAACGGUCUCGUGUCAUAUCGCCUUCUGAAAUUCCCCAGACCUGCAGGUGGCUGCCAGGCACGGUCAAGAACGGAACCCCAGCCUCCCAAGUUUACAACCCACCAGCCGCCACGGUCCAGACUGACCUAUUUAAAACCAACGGACACAUUCCAGGCUAUUCCGGAGUGAAUCUAUAAGGCGCGCCUCAGAGCAACGUUAGUUUACAAUACAACUACUGCCUAUAAAACCAGACCUAUCCAGAAGUUAUAAAACUGAUGUUUUUCUGGCUAGGAUCAACUGACCUAUGUAACGUUAACACUGUUAUCCCGUUACAUAGCCGGGUAAAGGCCCUUCGAAAAAGCCACAACUAACUUCGCGCAUCACGUCCAAUAUUGUGCGCUGGGGUUGUCGACGGGAAGCGCACACGUUUUUGUUAGCAACAUUAGCUUGUGUCUCUAUCGCAAAGAACACGGCCAUCGUAUAAAGUAUUUUAUUAUCUAAGUUAGCGUCCGUUGUCGUAACUGAUAAGAUAAACCGAUUUAGAGCUGUACUCGCGGAAAUAGACGAGAAUGAGAUUGGCCGGACGACUGUAACGUUAUCGCAAGCAAUGCUACAGCGUGACCGACUGCGCUGUCAACCAAGACAGAAAAAAGGAAGGACAGCGCUGACUGUGCGAAGGUCGUUGGGGUUGCUGGAGCCCAUCGGCAAGACACGGGAAGAACAUACAAGCUCCACACAGAAAGGCCCCAGCCAGGAUUCAAACCCAGGACAUAUAAUGUGGAUGAGACCCAUAUCUAUGUAAACUGCAGUCACUGCCCUGACUAGAAGAGGAACACUGUUGGCAAGUGCUCUGAGGUGGUCAGGUUUGGUUUUUAUUGCUGCAGAGACGAAGACCUGUCAAGGCUAGCUGGAGGGGGGCCAAGCGAGCGCUGAGGAGAAGGAUCGCAGCAGGAGGCUGUCAGGUGCGUUUACAGGAACGAAGCCAGUGCUACAUCAGCACGACAUAGAAGCCACAGAGCUGGCAUGGCUCCACGCGUGCCAGGCCUCCAAACCAG